CCUACGGGAGGCAGCAGUGAGGAAUAUUGGUCAAUGGGCGAGAGCCUGAACGAGCCAAGUCGCGUGAAGGAUGAAGGAUCUAUGGUUUGUAAACUUCUUUUAUAUGGGAAUAAAGUGAGGAACGUGUUCCUUUUUGUAUGUACCAUAUGAAUAAGCAUCGGCUAACUCCGUGCCAGCAGCCGCGGUAAUACGGAGGAUGCGAGCGUUAUCCGGAUUUAUUGGGUUUAAAGGGUGCGUAGGUGGUUAAUUAAGUCAGCGGUGAAAGUUUGUGGCUCAACCAUAAAAUUGCCGUUGAAACUGGUUGACUUGAGUAUAUUUGAGGUAGGCGGAAUGCGUGGUGUAGCGGUGAAAUGCAUAGAUAUCACGCAGAACUCCGAUGGCGAAGGCAGCUUACUAAACUAUAACUGACACUGAGGCACGAAAGCGUGGGGAGCAAACAGGAUUAGAUACCCGAGUAGUC
rnacentral:rRNA from 1 species